UACGGAGGGUGCAAGCGUUAUCCAGAUUCACUGGGUUUAAAGGGUGCGUAGGAGGGCAGGUAAGUCAGUGGUGAAAUCUUCGAGCUUAACUCGGAAACUGCCGUUGAUACUAUCUGUCUUGAAUACCGUGGAGGUGAGCGGAAUAUGUCAUGUAGCGGUGAAAUGCUUAGAUAUGACAUAGAACACCAAUUGCGAAGGCAGCUCGCUACACGAAUAUUGACUCUGAGGCACGAAAGCGUGGGGAUCAAACAGG
rnacentral:rRNA from 1 species